CAGUCGCCGCGGUAAUACGUAGGUCCCGAGCGUUGUCCGGAUUUAUUGGGCGUAAAGCGAGCGCAGGCGGUUAGAUAAGUCUGAAGUUAAAGGCUGUGGCUUAACCAUAGUACGCUUUGGAAACUGUUUAACUUGAGUGCAAGAGGGGAGAGUGGAAUUCCAUGUGUAGCGGUGAAAUGCGUAGAUAUAUGGAGGAACACCGGUGGCGAAAGCGGCUCUCUGGCUUGUAACUGACGCUGAGGCUCGAAAGCGUGGGGAGCAAACAGGAUUAGAUACCCCAGUAGUCCCUGUCUCUUAUACC
rnacentral:rRNA from 1 species